AUUGAACGCUGGCGGCAGGCCUAACACAUGCAAGUCGAGCGGUAACACAGGGAGCUUGCUCCUGGGUGACGAGCGGCGGACGGGUGAGUAAUGUCUGGGAAACUGCCUGAUGGAGGGGGAUAACUACUGGAAACGGUAGCUAAUACCGCAUAACGUCUACGGACCAAAGUGGGGGACCUUCGGGCCUCAUGCCAUCAGAUGUGCCCAGAUGGGAUUAGCUAGUAGGUGGGGUAAUGGCUCACCUAGGCGACGAUCCCUAGCUGGUCUGAGAGGAUGACCAGCCAAACUGGAACUGAGACACGGUCCAGACUCCUACGGGAGGCAGCAGUGGGGAAUAUUGCACAAUGGGCGCAAGCCUGAUGCAGCCAUGCCGCGUGUGUGAAGAAGGCCUUCGGGUUGUAAAGCACUUUCAGCGAGGAGGAAGGGUAGUGUGUUAAUAGCACAUUGCAUUGACGUUACUCGCAGAAGAAGCACCGGCUAGCUCCGUGCCAGCCGCCGCCGUAA
rnacentral:rRNA from 1 species